AUUGAACGCUGGCGGCAUGCUUUACACAUGCAAGUCGAACGGUAACAGGCCGCAAGGUGCUGACGAGUGGCGAACGGGUGAGUAAUGCAUCGGAACGUGCCCAGUCGUGGGGGAUAACGCAGCGAAAGCUGUGCUAAUACCGCAUACGAUCUAUGGAUGAAAGCGGGGGACCGUAAGGCCUCGCGCGAUUGGAGCGGCCGAUGUCAGAUUAGGUAGUUGGUGGGGUAAAGGCCUACCAAGCCGCCGAUCUGUAGCUGGUCUGAGAGGACGACCAGCCACACUGGGACUGAGACACGGCCCAGGCUCCUACGGGAGGCAGCAGUGGGGAAUUUUGGACAAUGGGCGCAAGCCUGAUCCAGCAAUGCCGCGUGCAGGAAGAAGGCCUUCGGGUUGUAAACUGCUUUUGUACGGAACGAAACGGUCUGGGUUAAUACCCUGGGCUAAUAACGGUACCGUAAGAAUAAGCACCGGCUAACUACGUGCCAGCCGCCGCCGUAAUAC
rnacentral:rRNA from 1 species